CCUAUAAAGGGACGAGCAGGAGGCAGGUCAGCACUCUUCCGUCACAUCUUCCGCAUCGCGCUGAGCGCCGCUCCAAGCUCUGAGGCACCAUGAAGCUGCUGUUUUUGCUGUCGGCGUUGAUCGGCUUGCUGCAGGUGGCCCAAGUGCAGGGCCUCCUUGGUUUGGGCCUCCUCAAGGCUGGUGCCCUCGGGUUCGCCCUCGGCAGGGGCGGCAGGGGCUUCGGCGGCCGAGGCUUCGGUCGCCGCGGCGGCUACGGCGGUCGCCGCGGCUACGGCG